rnacentral:rRNA from 1 species
AUUGAACGCUGGCGGCAGGCCUAACACAUGCAAGUCGAGCGGAUGAAGGGAGCUUGCUCCUGGAUUCAGCGGCGGACGGGUGAGUAAUGCCUAGGAAUCUGCCUGGUAGUGGGGGAUAACGUCCGGAAACGGGCGCUAAUACCGCAUACGUCCUGAGGGAGAAAGUGGGGGAUCUUCGGACCUCACGCUAUCAGAUGAGCCUAGGUCGGAUUAACUAGUUGGUGGGGUAAAGGCCUACCAAGGCGACGAUCCGUAACUGGUCUGAGAGGAUGAUCAGUCACACUGGAACUGAGACACGGUCCAGACUCCUACGGGAGGCAGCAGUGGGGAAUAUUGGACAAAGGGCGAAAGCCUGAUCCAGCCAUGCCGCGUGUGUGAAGAAGGUCUUCGGAUUGUAAAGCACUUUAAGUUGGGAGGAAGGGCAGUAAGUUAAUACCUUGCUGUUUUGACGUUACCAACAGAAUAAGCACCGGCUAACUUCGUG